UGAAGUGUUGCAGAGAAUAUCGGAGAUGAUUGAGCGGUAUGAUAGAGCAAGACUUGAGGAACUAAGUGGGUAUGUAUCUCGUUAAUUGCUAGACUAAGUGUCGCGCUUAGUCUAACUUUGUAGCAUUAUUGAUGCAGAGAGUUCUAUACUGUGAUACCCCAUGAUUUUGGUUUCAAGAAAAUGAGUCAGUUUGUUAUAGACACUCCCCAAAAGUUGAAACAGAAAAUAGAAAUGGUUGAAGCAUUAGGUGAAAUCGAAUUCGCGACGAAGUUGUUGUCCAUCGAUCAGGGAUUGCAUGUAAGUGAAGUCAGUGUUGUGUCUAUGUGGGUUUAAGGCAUCAAAUAACUUCUUUGUAUAUUU